rnacentral:lncRNA from 1 species
UGCAGCGCUGGAGAAGAAGAAGAAGAAGAAGAGAGGAGGCGCUGCUUUGAUGAUGAGGAGUAGAGGUGCAGCGCUGGAGAUAAAAAAAAGGAAAGGGAAUUUUCUAGAUGGUUUGGGUCGAACCGAUUCGAUUCGGUUCGAUUCGACCCAAUUCUUUGAUUUUCGAUUGGUUUUCGGCUUUUUCAAUCGGUUUUCGGUUCGGUUUCUCACAGUGUUCGCAUUAAAAUAUUGAAAUAAAUUUCCAGACUGUCGGUUUAUUAAAUUUAAUUGGAAAAUCUUUGAAAAUAAAAAUUCGGAUUGUUUCAGUCUUCCCUCUUAAAAAAAUUCGUCCUCGAAUUUUGAAAAUAACAAUAAACUAGGAUACAAUAAUUGUUUACGACAAUGGUGGUUAUGCUUCUCACAUAAAGUUGCAAGUUCGUUAGUCAGAGUGGUGAAUCUAAUUUUUUUCUUAAAUUUAUUAAUUAAGACAAACCAAUGAACAGACCAGGGAAGAAAAUCUAAUUUAUAGAGAGGGUAAGAUGAUUAUAAGAUAAAUCCAUCCCUAAAGUUAUCUACCUUAUCACCAUAGUUAAUUUAAACGUAAAUUAUACUAUGUCUACAAGUUGUCCCCUCAAGUCAAAUAUUCAUAACUUAAAGCACAGAUUCGACACUAAUAUUCACCUUUACACGUAAGAAUUUCAUUCACUGAUAACAUCUGCUCAAGUAAGGGUUAUUGAUCUCAUUAGCUCUAUAUCAUGUGUCCUUACAUUGAUGUAUCGUCAUUUAUUCUCUCACUAGCUAUCAUAGGCAAUGAUCAUCACUCCAUAAGAAACUCAUACACCAACUCAGUAUGUAAUCUUACUGAUAUAAGAAUCCACAUAUUCAAUCAAAUUUAUUACUAUUCCAAUUUGGACUCCUUAUUUUAAAAUUCAAAACCUACAUGCCGACUCAAUCCAUUUUGCAUCAAUUCCAAUUCCAUAUAUUUGCCCUCAUAAUCAUUGAAGUUGUUCAUAACUAAAUAAGAUGAUUGCUGCCAACUCAAGAAAGUUUUCGAUUAUUAUCAAAUUCUGCCAUUAAGUGCUAUUUGAAUCAUUUCCAAUUAAAGAGAACAAAUUCUUGCCACUACUACAAGCUUAUUUCAAAUAGAAUCAAGACAUUUCUCUAGCUAAGUGCUAUCAACUGAUAGGAUAUACUGACUUCUAUCCCAAUCUCAUCACAUAUUUAUCAACUUAACUAUUUUCCAACAAAAGAUAUAAAAUUUAUUCUCAAUUCCUACUAAUAAGAAUUCUCAUAAAAACAAAUAAUACAUCGACUAUAUAGAGAAAAUUUCAAUUCACAAUCAAGUCUCUAUUUUAGUUAUUAACCUCUCUAUCCUUCUUCCCGAAUUAUCAUAUCAUACCAUUUCUUAACUAAUUAUGACAACAACUUAUGCAACUAGCCAAAUUAGUUGUUGCCAUGCCGAAUAAUUCUUAAUUUAUUUUCUAAAAUUCGCAAACACAGUUCUAUUAUACUCCAUUCCAUCAUGAAAUCCAGUCUACAUUUUUUUUUUUUACAAGCUUAAUCAAGAUGUAAAAUUCUCCAAACCGUAAUUUAUAUCCAAUUUACCUAGGUCUACGUAUCCAGAAAUCCUAAACAAGUAUUGCCUUUGCUCUAGCUAAGUAUGAGAUUAAGGAUAUUAAACCUAUAAUCUAAUUCCUGAUUACACUAUGUCCAUUGUUUUAUAUUUAUUUAAAUACUCGCGUGUAUACUUCUCACUAAAUUAGCUAAAAUUAUUCCAAACCUACUUGUUUGCUCUUACACAAAUUUUCAAUAUCCCAAACAAAUAGUAAAUUAAAACAGCUAGCUUACUAAUAAAUGAAAAUACUCUAAUUACCUUUACGUUCUACUAAGGACAUAAAUAUAAUUUUCCUUCUUUAUCCAAUAAAACAAGUAACUUGCAAAAGUUGCACUAAUUAAUAGAAUUUCCUUAUAAAUUUAUUCUCAAUUCCUACUAAUAAGAAUUCUCAUAAAAACAAAUAAUACAUCGACUAUAUAGAGAAAAUUUCAAUUCACAAUCAAGUCUCUAUUUUAGUUAUUAACCUCUCUAUCCUUCUUCCCGAAUUAUCAUAUCAUACCAUUUCUUAACUAAUUAUGACAACAACUUAUGCAACUAGCCAAAUUAGUUGUUGCCAUGCCGAAUAAUUCUUAAUUUAUUUUCUAAAAUUCGCAAACACAGUUCUAUUAUACUCCAUUCCAUCAUGAAAUCCAGUCUACAUUUUUUUUACGUUCUACUAAGGACAUAAAUAUAAUUUUCCUUCUUUAUCCAAUAAAACAAGUAACUUGCAAAAGUUGCACUAAUUAAUAGAAUUUCCUUAUUUUAAUUGCUUUACGUCAAGAGAUUGAAUUUAUUCACAUUCGUUGUCAUCUCAAACUAAGCCCCAUGAUCCUUUAUCAACUCUUAUUCCCACUCAUUACUAUUUUCCAACUAGAUGUUAUCAAAUUACAUAAGUCAAAAUUUUCUUAUCUCUCUCUCCAGUAGAAAGUCUAUCUUUCUUUUUGAAUAUAAGUACUAAGUUCUUUCAUCAUCGGGAUUAUAAUCCUUAAAUCAUUUAUCUAUUUGUAUAUCACCAGACAUUCAAUAAC